GAUGAACGCUGGCGGCGUGCCUAAUACAUGCAAGUCGAGCGAACGGACGAUACUCUUGCUUCUCUGAUGUUAGCGGCGGACGGGUGAGUAACGCGUGGAUAACCUCCCUAUAAUUCUGGUAUCACUUCGGGACACCGGCUCUAAUCCCGUAUAAUAUUUUGAACCGCAUUGUUCAAAAGUGAAAGACGGUCUUGCUGUCACUUAUCGAUGGAUCCGCGCUGCAUUAGCUAGUUGGUAAGGUAACGGCUUACCAAGGCAACGAUGCGUAGACGACCUGAGAGGCGGAUAGGCGACACUGGAACUGAGCCACGGUCAAGAGGACUAAGGGAGGCCGCAGUAGGGAAUGUUACGCAAUGGGGGAAAACAUGACGGAGCGAGGCGGCGUGAGAGAUGAAGAUCUUCGGAGCGUGAAAACCUGUUAUGAGGGAAGAACAGAUGUGGAAGUAAAUGUGGAGAGAUUGACGGUAACUGAUAAGAAAGCCACGGCUAACUACGUG
rnacentral:rRNA from 1 species